AUUGAACGCUGGCGGCAGGCCUAACACAUGCAAGUCGAACGCGUGGCGGACGGGUGAGAAAUGUAUGGGAAACCGCCAGAUGGAGGGGGAUAUAUUCUGAAAAGUGUAGCUAAUAACGAAAAACCUCAGAGGUGCCUAGAGGGGUUUAGCUAGUAGGUGGGGUAACGGCUAACCUAGGCGACGAGCCCUAGCUGGUAUGAGAGGAUGAACAGCCACACUGGAACUGAGACACGGUCCAGACUCCGACGGGAGGCAGCAGUGGGGAAUAUUGCACAAUGGGCGCAAGCCUGAUGCAGCCAUGCCGCGUGUAUGAAGAAGGCCUUCGGGUUGUAAAGUACUUUCAGCGAGGAGGCGUUACUCGCAGAAGAAGCACCGGCUAACUCCGUGCCAGCAGCCGCGGUAAUUC
rnacentral:rRNA from 1 species